CAGUAGCCGCGGCAAUACGAAGGGUGCAAGCGUUAAUCGGAAUUACUGGGCGUAAAGCGUGCGUAGGCGGUUUGUUAAGUCUGUUGUGAAAUCCCCGGGCUCAACCUGGGAAUGGCAAUGGAUACUGGCAAGCUAGAGUGUGUCAGAGGAUGGUGGAAUUCCCGGUGUAGCGGUGAAAUGCGUAGAGAUCGGGAGGAACAUCAGUGGCGAAGGCGGCCAUCUGGGACAACACUGACGCUGAGGCACGAAAGCGUGGGGAGCAAACAGGAUUAGAUACCCCGGUAGUCCCUGUCUCUUAUAC
rnacentral:rRNA from 1 species